UCUACGGGAGGCAGCAGUGGGGAAUAUUGCACAAUGGGGGAAACCCUGAUGCAGCGACGCCGCGUGAGUGAAGAAGUAUCUCGGUACGUAAAGCUCUAUCAGCAGGAAAGAAAAUGACGGUACCUGACUAAGAAGCCCCGGCUAACUACGUGCCAGCAGCCGCGGUAAUACGUAGGGGGCAAGCGUUAUCCGGAUUUACUGGGUGUAAAGGGAGCGUAGACGGCGCUGCAAGUCCGGAGUGAAAGCCCAUGGCUUAACCAUGGUACUGCUCUGGAAACUGGGGAGCUUGAGUGCGGGAGGGGCAGGCGGAAUGCGUGGUGUAGCGGUGAAAUGCAUAGAUAUCACGCAGAACUCCGAUUGCGAAGGCAGCAUACCGGCGCUCAACUGACGCUCAUGCACGAAAGUGUGGGUAUCGAACAGGAUUAGAUACCCGUGUAGUC
rnacentral:rRNA from 1 species